CGCCUCGCCGCCGUACCACCCGCCGCCUCCUCUGCAACCUCGGCCCACCGGGCGGACCCGGCCCAGGUCACUGGCGGCCCAGGCGCAGGCUUCUUCAUCCCUCUGCUUCCAAGGUCACACCCUGGACCUGUAUCACCGCAGAAGAGCUCCAAGUCCGAAGUUGUAAAUGCAGACACCUGAUCUCUGACUGCCCCUGGGCUGUUCUCAGAAGUCUGCCCAUUGUUCUCUGGCCUGCAGAAAUCUCCAGUCCACUUGGCCUUUUACUUUGUUCUAUGUAUCACCUCUCUCCAAUCUUUAUUUCCUUCCCCAUCAGCUGAAAGUCCAAGGUCUAUCACUUCCAUCACCUUCUUCCCGAUAUGCUUACCUCCAUUGUGUGGUUAUUCUUCUGUCACACCUGCCUGGCAGCACUCCAACUCUGGGGGAAAAAAAAAUCCAACCUUCUGGCUUCUCUAAAUCUGUUCCUGAGCUAUAAGUCUUGCUGGAAAAAAAUCUCAAAACCACA